rnacentral:rRNA from 1 species
UGAGGGUUGAUAGGUUAAGAGCUGAUUAAUUGGACGUUCCCACAGAAGAAGCACCGGCUAACUCUGUGCCAGCAGCCGCGGUAAUACAGAGGGUGCAAGCGUUAAUCGGAAUUCUGGGCGUAAAGGGUGCGUAGGUUGUUGAAUAAGUUAUCUGUGAAAGCCCUGGGCUCAACCUGGGAAGGUCAGAUAAGACUGUUUAACUCGAGUAUGGGAGAGGGUAGUGGAAUUUCGGUGUAGCGGUGAAAUGCGUAGAGAUCGGAAGGAACACCAGUGGCGAAGGCGGCUCCUGGCCUGAUCUGACACUGAAGCACGAAAGCGUGGGGAGCAAACAGGAUUAGAUCCCUGGUAGUCCACGCUGUAAACGAUGUCAACUAGCUGUUGGUCAUAUGAAAAUGAUUAGUGGCGCAGCAAACGCGAUAAGUUGAC